CAGCAGCCGCGGGAAUACGAAGGGGGCUAGCGUUGUUCGGAAUUACUGGGCGUAAAGCGCACGUAGGCGGACAUUUAAGUCAGGGGUGAAAUCCCGGGGCUCAACCCCGGAACUGCCUUUGAUACUGGGUGUCUAGAGUAUGGAAGAGGUGAGUGGAAUUCCGAGUGUAGAGGUGAAAUUCGUAGAUAUUCGGAGGAACACCAGUGGCGAAGGCGGCUCACUGGUCCAUUACUGACGCUGAGGUGCGAAAGCGUGGGGAGCAAACAGGAUUAGAGACCCGAGUAGUCCCUGUCUCUUAUAC
rnacentral:rRNA from 1 species